rnacentral:rRNA from 1 species
GACAUGCAAGUCGAGCGCCUCGAGCUAUGACGAGGCGCGGCGUACGGCUCAGUAACACGUGGCUAUCCUGCCCUUAGGACGGAUACAAUCCCGGGAAACUGGGGCUAAUAUUCGAUAGGUGAGGAAGGCCUGGUAUGGUUCUUCAUCAAAAGGAUUUUGGAAUCAUGCUUUCCAACAUCGCCUAAGGAUGGGGCCGCGCCCGAUCAGGUUGUUGGUGAGGUAACGGCUCACCAAGCCUAUAACCGGUACGGGCCGUGAGAGCGGUAGCCCGGAGAUGGGUACUUAGACAAGGGCCCAGGCCCUACGGGGCGCAGCAGUCGCGAAAACUCCGCAAUGCGCGAAAGCGUGACGGGGCUACCCCGAGUGCCGUCCGCUGAGGAUGGCUUUUUCUUGGUGUAACGAGCUAGGGGAAUAAGGAGAGGGCAAGUCUGGUGUCAGCCGCCGCGGUAAUACCAGCUCUCCGAGUGGUAGGGAUGACUAUUGGGCUUAAAGCGUUCGUAGCCGGCUUAGCAAGUCUCCUGUUAAAUUCAGCGACUUAAUCGUUGAGCCGCGGGGGAUACUACUAGGCUAGGAGGCGGGAGAGGCCGACGGUAUUCUCGGGGUAGGGGUGAAAUCCUAUAAUCCCGGGAGGACCACCAGUGGCGAAGGCUGUCGGCUAGAACGCGCUCGACGGUGAGGGACGAAAGCUGGGGGAGCGAACCGGAUUAGAUACCCGGGUAGUCCCAGCUGUAAACGAUGCGGGCUAGGUGUUGGAGUGGCUAAGUGCUACUUCAGUGCCGCAGGGAAGCCAUUAAGCCCGCCGCCUGGGGAGUACGGCCACAAGG